CAACCGACGUAGAUUGUUGAAUUUACGUCGGUCCCUUUGUUGUCCGACGUAAAUGAAGUUGAAUUUUUGAAUUUAAGUUGCGUAGCGCCUCUCCUUCUUCACCAGAUUUCCUUCCCGCUCUCCCUGCUUCGCAGCCAACACGUAACGCCUCUCCAUUCUUCACCAGAUUUCGUUCAGAUUUUGUUCAGAUUUCGCAGCCAACACGUAACGCCAUUAUUUGGGAGCAUUCAGAUUUCGUUCCCGUUCUUCGCUCAUUUCCUACGUUCGAAGACAGGAGCAGAAAUUUGUACAAGGCCUUCUGGGUUUGGAGACACAGUCCUGGGUUUAUCAAGCAGAACGGGCCGUUCUCCAAGCAGAACGGGCCGUUCUCCAAGCAGAACGGGCCGUUCUGCUGCACUUGUUUUCUUCUUUUUUUUUUUAAAUUUUGUAUGACUUUUUACGUCGGACCUUGGCAUGUGUGACGUAAAUUUACGUCGAUUUUCGCGCCGCGACGUAAAAUUUACGUCUCCAACGUCGGACGUUUCUCUGAUGUAAAAACCCCUAAAUAACCGACGUAAAAUGCUUAUUUUGUACUAGUGCAGUAUAGGAAUAGGGUCACCUUUCAGGGCUCUUCUUUUCAGCCUCAUGAACUAGUCUCUCGAAUUCUUUGCCCAAGUGAAUAUCUUACAGGAUAGUAUACCCCUGUUUAGAUGUCAAACCAUUGCAACACCUAAUAAGAGGGAUCAACAGGUAGUAUGUUGGGUACAUCCACCUGUUGGGAUAUAUAAGCUGAAUUGUGAUGCUUCGGUUAGUCUUGAAGACAAGAGUGCUGCAGCUGGAGGUGUAUGUCGUGACCAUCAUGGGACAAUUAUCUUUUCCUUUGCAGCCAAGAUCAGUUUCUGUCGUGUGUUGAUGGUUGAACUGUGGGCCAUUUACAUUGGUAUAGCUACUGCUUGGAACAGGGGAUUUACAAAAUUGGUGGUGGAAUUAGAUUCCCAGCUAGCUAUUGGUCUUCUUCGAAACGGGUGCUCUUCGUGCCACCCCUGUUUUAGUCUGGUCCAGAGUAUCCUUUCCUUUGUUGCUGCGGGUGGUGACUUUGAGUGGAGGCAUAUUCUUCGUGAAACUAAUCAAGUUUGCUGAUGGGUUAGCUAACUAUGGGAGAAGCCUUACAGAUAAUUUACAUGUCUUUGAAAGUGUUAUGCCUUUUAUUUCUUUAGCUGUUCUUGCUGAUGUAAGUUCUACUAUUUUUCCUCGGGGAUUUUAAUUUAGUUUGUGGGAGCCAUGCCCCUUAUUUUCAAAAAAAAAAAAAAAGGUACUUAGCCAUGCCCUGCUCCGCUCUCUUCUAUAUGUCAUUUUCAUUAUGACAAUGCAUUAACUUAGAGAAAAGAGGAUAAACCUAAAUCACUAGUGUAUUAAUUAACUCAUGAUUUUGCUUUCAAACAAUCAGUUUGCCACGCUUUCUGAACUGAUAGAUCCAUUACGUUCGAAUAGAAGUUGGUGACAUGCUUUUAAGAAUUUCGAUAUGCACAUUCCCUAAUUUCAACCACAU